AAGUCGUAACAAGGUUUCCGUAGGUGAACCUGCGGAAGGAUCAUUAACACGUUUCGUUCCGAACGUUUUGACCCUCCUAUUUUCCGUGCACCCAAUCGCGUCCGGCCUCCCAGCCGCUCACUGGGUUUACUCAGUGUUGCCUGUUGGGCGUCUUUCGGGAUCCAAGGAAUGAAGUUUGUGCUUUGACGAGUGCUGACUUCGUUUCUCCUGAAUGGGCGUUGCCACCUCACCCAAACCCUUUAAUCUAACUGAUCUGAACUUUUAGUUGAUGUAUUGGCAAGAAGUUUCUUUUUGUCAGUAUUCAACGACUUGAACAAACAACAACUCUUAACAACGGAUAUCUUGGUUCUC
rnacentral:misc_RNA from 1 species